ACAUCCUGGUAAGCAUGCAUAUCCUGCGACAUGGCCGGCAUGAAGUUUCAGUUCUAAAGGAAAAGCAAUUUCCCUUUGUCCGGCUUGCCAUAAAGAAACUAAGAAAUUGCAUCACAACAGUAAGCAUGGGUAGUUGUUCAGAAUCCUUUUUUGCCUCUUUUUUCAAGCUAGUCUAGCAAACUAGGCUGCAAAAAGUCGUGGCACGACAUAACGCUGCUUAUAAUAAUGACUAACGAGAGCUGUUGCACUCAUGUCCAGAAAUGGAAUGUCAUUGAUAGGAAAUUUCUAGUAUACUUUCCGGAUACUGACUUUUAAUUUUAUACAGUGUAGUAAUGGUAGAAUAAGUUCAGCACCUUACAGCUUGAAAAGUAAAGAAGUUGAUCAAAGUGCCUCAGUCUAUAUAGUUUGUUAAACACUAUAGCUAUUCUUUUGCCAAAAUUGAUCCUGAUCAGUGACUGUUGUGAUGGUACCCGACCUUCUAGAAGAUACCACUGUCAUUGACGCCAUUUUUACAUUGAGAUUAAUAAUUUUUUGUAAUUUUCUCUUUUUUGAAGGGUCAAAACUACAAAACUGUUUAUUUUGAGGAGUUUGCCGGAGUGGAAAUUUGAAGUAAAACUUUUUUUAAACACAA